ensembl:lncRNA
CUACAGUGACCCCAUAGAGCCCUAUAGUGAUCCCAUCGAGCCCCACAGUGACCCCAUAGAGCCCCAUAGUGACCCCAUAGAGCUCCAUAGUGAUCCCAUCGAGCCCCACAGUGACCCCAUAGAGCCCCAUAGUGACCCCAUAGAGCUCCAUAGAGACGCUAUAACAGCCCCAUAGGGACCCCAUAGAGCUCCUUAGUGACCCCAUAGAGCCCCACAGUGUCCCCAUAGAGUCCCAUAGUGACCCCAUAACUUCCCCACAGUGACCCCAUAGAGCCCCAUAGGGACCCCAGAGAGCUCCGUAAUGACCCCAUAGAGCUCCACAGUGACCCCAUAACUGCCCCAUAAUGACCCCAUUAGGGCCCAUAGGGACCCCAUAGAGCCCCAUUGUGACCCCAUAGAGCCCCAUAGGGACCCCAUAGAGCACCCUAGGGACCCCAUAACAGCCCUAUAGCGACCCCAUUGAGCUCCACAAUGACCCCAUAAAGCCCCACAGUGACCCCAUAGAGCCCCAUAGGGACCCCAAAGAGCUCCAUAAUGACCCCAUAACUGCCCCAUAGCGACCCCAUAGGGUUCCAUAGAGACCCUAUAACAGCCCCAUAGAGACCUCAUUGGUGCCCAUAGGGACCCCAUAGAGCCCCAUAGGGACCCCAGAGAGUUCUGUAAUGACCCCAUAGAGCCCGAGAGUGACCCCAUAGAGCUCCACGGUGACCCCAUAGAACCCCACAGUGUCCCCAUAGAGCCCCAUAGGGACCCCAUAGAGCCCCAUAGUGACCCCAUAGAGCUCCAUAAUGACCCAAUCACAGCCGCAUAGUGACCCCGUAGAGCCCCAUAGGGACCCCAUAGAGCCCCAUAGUGACCCCGUAGAGCCCCAUAGGGACCCCAUAACAGCCCCAUAGCGACCCCAUAGAGCUCAAAAGGGACCCCAUAUACCUCCAUAGUAACCCCAUAGAGCUCCACGGUGACCCCAUAACAGCCCCAUAGUGACCCCAUAGAGCCCCAGAGUGACCCCAUAGAGCCCCACAAUGACCCCAUAGAGCCCCAUAGGGACUCCAUAGAGCCACAUAGUGACCCCAUAGAGGCCCAUAAUGACCCCAUUAGGGCCCAUAGGGACCCCAUAGAGCCCCAUAGUGACCCCAUAGAGCCCCACAGUGACCCAAUAGAGCCACACAGUGACCCCAUAGAGCCCCAUAGUGACACCAGAACUGCCCCAUAGUGACCCCAUAGAGUUCCAUAGAGACCCCAUUACAGCCCCAUAGUGACCCCAUAGAGCCCCACAGUGACCCCAUAACUGCCCCAUAAUGACCCCAUUAGGGCCCAUAGGGACCCCAUAGAGCCCCAUUGUGACCUCAUUGGGGCCCAUAGUGACCCAAUAGAGCCACACAGUGACCCCAUAGAGCCCCAUAGUGAACAAAUAGAGCCCCAUGGUGACCCCAUAGAGUUCCAUAGAGACCCCAUAACAGUCCCAUAAUGACCUCAUUGGGGCCCAUAGGGACCCCAUCGAGCCCCAUAGUGGCACCAUAGAGCCCCACAGUGACCCCUUAGAGCCCCACAGGGACCCCAGAGAGCUCCACAGUGACCCCAUAACAGCCCCAUAGUGACCUCAUUGGGGCCCAUAGGGACCCCGUAGAGCCCCAUAGGGACCCAAUAACAGCCCUACAGUGACCCCAUAGAGCCCUAUAGUGAUCCCAUCGAGCCCCACAGUGACCCCAUAGAGCCCCAUAGUGACCCCAUAGAGCUCCAUAGAGCCCCAUAGGGACCCCAUAGAGCCCCAUAGGGACCCCAGAGAGCUCCGUAAUGACCCCAUAGAGCUCCACAGUGACCCCAUAACUGCCCCAUAAUGACCCCAUUAGGGCCCAUAGGGACCCCAUAGAGCCCCAUUGUGACCCCAUAGAGCCCCAUAGGGACCCCAUAGAGCACCCUAGGGACCCCAUAACAGCCCUAUAGCGACCCCAUUGAGCUCCACAAUGACCCCAUAAAGCCCCACAGUGACCCCAUAGAGCCCCAUAGGGACCCCAUUAGAGCUCCAUAAUGACCCCAUAACUGCCCCAUAGCGACCCCAUAGGGUUCCAUAGAGACCCUAUAACAGCCCCAUAGAGACCUCAUUGGUGCCCAUAGGGACCCCAUAGAGCCCCAUAGGGACCCCAGAGAGUUCUGUAAUGACCCCAUAGAGCCCGAGAGUGACCCCAUAGAGCUCCACGGUGACCCCAUAGAACCCCACAGUGUCCCCAUAGAGCCCCAUAGGGACCCCAUAGAGCCCCAUAGUGACCCCGUAGAGCCCCAUAGGGACCCCAUAGAGCCCCAUAGUGACCCCGUAGAGCCCCAUAGGGACCCCAUAACAGCCCCAUAGCGACCCCAUAGAGCUCAAAAGGGACCCCAUAUACCUCCAUAGUGACCCCAUAGAGCUCCACAGUGACCCCAUAACAGCCCCAUAGUGACCCCAUAGAGCUCCAUAGUGACCCCAUAAAAGCCCCACAGAGACCCCAUAGAGCUCCAUAGUGACCUCAUAACAGCCCCAUAGUGACCCCAUCGAGCCCCAUAGGGACCCCAUAACAGCCCCAUAGCGACCCUAUAGAGCUUAAUAGAGCCCCACAGUGACCUCAUAGAGCCCCAUAGGGACCCCAUAACAGCCCCAUAGCGACCCUAUAGAGCUCAAUAGGGACCCCAUAUACCUCCACGGUGACCCCAUAGAGCCCCAUAGCGACCUCAUAGAGCUCCACAGUGACCCCAUAGAACCCCAUAGUGACCCCAUAACAGCCCCAUAGUGACCCCAUAGAACCCCAUAGUGACCCCAUAGAGCUCCAUAGGGAUAUGGGGAGGUUUGAGGUGGAAGGGUCCUGGAAGGUCACAGAGAUGUGGGGUGGUUGGGGCGGAAGGGUCCUGGAAGGUCACAGAGAUGUGGGGUGGUUGGGGCGGAAGGGUCCUGGAAGGUCACAGCAAUACGGGGUGGUGGGGCUGGAAGGGUCCUGGAAGGUCAUCACUGAAUGGGUUUUAUUGGAAGGGUCCUGGAAGGUCAUCACUGAGUGGAUGGGAUUGGAAAGGUCCUGGAAGGUCAUCACUAAACGGGUUGGACUGGAAGGGUCCUGGAAGGUCAUCACUGAAUGGAUGGGAUUGGAAAGGUCCUGGAAGGUCAUCUCUGAGUGGGUUGGAUUGGAAAGGUCCUGGAAGGUCUCUGGGAGUGGGUUGGAUUGGAAGGGUCCUGGAAGGCCAUCACUGAACGGGUUGGACUGGAAGGGUCCUGGAAGGUCAGUACUGAAUGGAUGGGGUUGGAAAGGUCCUGGAAGGUCAUUACUGAACAGAUUUAAUUAGAAGGGUCCUGGAAGGUCAUUACUGAAUGGAUGGGAUUGGAAAGGUCUUGGAAGGUCAUCACUAUGCGGGUGGGAUUAGAAGGGUCCUGGAAGGUCACUUCUGAGAGGGUUUGAUUAGAAAGGUCCUGGAAGGUCAUCACUGAAUGGGUUUUAUUGGAAGGGUCCUGGAAGGUCAUCACUGAAUGGGUUUUAUUGGAAGGGUCCUGGAAGGUCAUCACUGAGUGGGUUGGACUGGAAGGGUCCUGGAAGGUCAUCACUGAAUGGAUGGGGUUGGAAAGGUCCUGGAAGGUCAUCACUGAACGGGUUGGACUGGAAGGGUCCUGGAAGGUCAUUACUGAAUGGAUGGGGUUGGAAAGGUCCUGGAAGGUCAUCACUGAAUGGAUGGGGUUGGAAAGGUCCUGGAAGGUCAUCACUGAACAGAUUUAAUUAGAAGGGUCCUGGAAGGUCAUGACUGAAUGAAUGGGAUUGGAAAGGUCCUGGAAGGUCAUCACUGAGCGGGUUGGACUGGAAGGGUCCUGGAAGGUCAUCACUGAACGGGUUUUAUUGGAAGGGUCCUGGAAGGUCACCACUGAGUGGGUUUUAUUGGAAAGGUCCUGGAAGGUCUCUGGGAGAGGGACGGCGGCGCGCCGUGACGCCUCCCAUUGGCGCGCUCCUACCGGAAGUCCCGCCCCCCGCGCAUGCGCAGUGGGAUCCGCGGCGCGCCUGUGAGAUCGGGCGGUUCCGGGAGGAGCGGUGAGAGCGCAGUUGUGGGGCUGAGGCCCUCCCGGAGGUGCCGCUAUGGGGCUGCUGUCCGACCCACAGUGCCGCCGUCUGCUCAGCCGCCUCCUGCAGCGCUUCAAUGUGCCCCUAUGCGUGCUGUGCUACGUGUCGGGGCUGUGUUGGUUGGCGGCGCUGCCGGCGCUGUCCCCGCGCAGCUCCAUGUCGGAGAACGCGAUGGGCUCCACGAUGGUGGAGGAGCGCUUCCACUACGGGGCGCGCGCGGCCGCAUACAGCGCCGAGUUCAGCGCGCAGCGCGACGCCGCCGGGUCCGUGCGGGGGGGGG